rnacentral:pre_miRNA from 1 species
CAACCUCCACAGGCUGGUUGGUCCUCAGAUUGAACUGGGUGGGUGUCUCUUCUAAAGGCUCACCCUCAAGCAUGACUUGGAGC